UUCAGGGGUGGUAUAGUACGUCAUCAACAGGUGCGCGCAACACUUCCCGAUGCGGCUUUUUUGUGUCAAAACAUCUCGAUUCGGUACAUGAAAGAUGAAAAAGGAAACAAAACUUCUAGUCUGCAUCAAUGGAAUUCUCAAUAUAUGUUUAAAAGGAUUGCUGAGUGAUCGGCAUGCAAGACAUAAUUGACGUAUUAUAUUUUCCAAAAGCUGUACGACAUAAUAUUUGAGAAGUGGAGAACAUCCUCUAACGGAAUUACCCCAGACAAGGAUUUCAACGCUCAACUAGUUCUCCGUACCAAACUUUGUCAGUUGCUGUUUGAAGGGCCACGUGAUCAUCACAACUGCUCGAGAAAAAUGAGAAAUUACUGUAUCGCGCCAACGAAAUGUUCUUAUUAAGGAGUUUUAGAUGUGCGCAGGGAAAGAACAAGAGUGACUGCAACCGAAUUAUAAUUACCACGUAGUACAAUGGGACAUCGAUUGCAUCUACACUAGAAAGCGUUUCAGGAUUUAAUAUUUUGCUUACAAAUCUGAGUGCACCCAAUUACAUGUUAAAACUCGAAGUGAGCAUGAACACUGGUAGAACAACUUUACUUGCAGUGUAAACUAUUUUGCUUUUCUUAAACUGUUUAGUUGUUGAAAAUGUUGUUGUAUAAAAGAUUAUUUAAAAUAGGAAAUUUUACUGAUUUUUU